rnacentral:snRNA from 14 species
AUGUUUGCCUGGCAAGGAAAAUCCCAUGAUCCACUCAGCCAAUCAAAUGUAGCAACUCUGGGAAGGAUGACCCUUGUGAGCGUCCCCAAAUGUGUGAAACUCAAUUGCACAAUGUUGUGGUAAUGGGGGAUUGCGUUCUUGCUUUCCCCAU